UUCAAAUCCCAAAAGAAUUUCUACAGAGAGUGAGAGAGAAAGUUGAAUUUCAAGGAGACGCAGACCAUAGAAAUGGGGGUGCGGGCUAACGUGCGCAGGGAGUUGGUGCUGCAAUUGUUGUUAACGCUUUGGAUUUGGGGAACUGUUCGGGUGAGUGAGGGAAUUUGGUUAAAUCUGCCGGCAUCGGGGACGAAGUGCGUUUCCGAGGAACUCCACACCAAUGUUGUCGUAUUAGCUGAUUAUGUUGUCGUUUCCGAGGACAACUCUCGCCUUCCCGCCAUCUCUAUCAAGGUGACGUCACCAUAUGGGAACAAUCUUCAUCAAAAGGAAAAUGUGACUCAUGGUCAAUUUGCAUUCACAACUCAAGAGGCUGGCAACUAUCUGGCUUGUUUCUGGGUGGGAGGCGAUAAUCAAGGAGGUGGAGAUGUAAGUGUCAACCUUGACUGGAAAACUGGAAUUGCAGCGAAGGAUUGGGAAUCAGUUGCAAGGAAAGAAAAGAUUGAGGGUGUUGAACUUGAGCUGAGAAAACUUGAAGGAGCAGUGGAGGCCAUCCAUGAGAAUCUACUCUACCACUCUAUCUCAAAAGCAGAGAAGCAGAGUUAAGGACUGUAAGCGAGACAACAAAUACCAGAGUAGCAUGGUUUAGUAUCAUGUCCUUGGGUCUCUGCAUCGUGGUCUCGGUUCUGCAGUUGUGGUAUCUGAAAAGUUUCUUCCGAAAGAAGAAGCUUAUCUAGAUAUUGCUAAUGAAUAGUAAAUUCCCCAGCUCUUUUAUUUUCCUUAAAUUCUUUGCUUUGUAUGUUGCAGAAGAAAAUUUUUGAUAAGAUGAAUGGAGAAUGUUAUUAUUCUCAUUGAAAGCGAGGCUCAUCAUCUUUAACGAUAUAGACUAAUGCAUC
rnacentral:misc_RNA from 1 species